rnacentral:rRNA from 1 species
GAAUAUUGGACAAUGGGGGGAACCCUGAUCCAGCCAUGCCGCGUGUGUGAAGAAGGCCUUUUGGUUGUAAAGCACUUUAAGCGAGGGGGAGGCUCCUCUGGUAAUAACUUGCAGAAAGUGGCCGUAACUCGCAGAAUAACCACCGGCUAACCUGUUCCGACCGGCCGCGGUAAUACGGGGGGUGCAAGCUGUAAUCGGAUUUACUGGGCGUAAAGCGCGCGUAGGUGGCCAAUUAAGUCAAAUGUGAAAUCCCCGAGCUUAACUUGGGAAUUGCAUUCGAUACUGGUUGGCUAGAGUAUGGGAGAGGAUGGUAGAAUUCCAGGUGUAGCGGUGAAAUGCGUAGAGAUCUGGAGGAAUACCGAUGGCGAAGGCAGCCAUCUGGCCUAAUACUGACACUGAGGUGCGAAAGCAUGGGGAGCAAACA